AUUGAACGCUGGCGGCAGGCCUAACACAUGCAAGUCGAACGGUAACAGGAAACAGCUUGCUGUUUCGCUGACGAGUGGCGGACGGGUGAGUAAUGUCUGGGAAACUGCCUGAUGGAGGGGGAUAACUACUGGAAACGGUAGCUAAUACCGCAUAACGUCGCAAGACCAAAGAGGGGGACCUUCGGGCCUCUUGCCAUCGGAUGUGCCCAGAUGGGAUUAGCUAGUAGGUGGGGUAACGGCUCACCUAGGCGACGAUCCCUAGCUGGUCUGAGAGGAUGACCAGCCACACUGGAACUGAGACACGGUCCAGACUCCUACGGGAGGCAGCAGUGGGGAAUAUUGCACAAUGGGCGCAAGCCUGAUGCAGCCAUGCCGCGUGUAUGAAGAAGGCCUUCGGGUUGUAAAGUACUUUCAGCGGGGAGGAAGGGAGUAAAGUUAAUACCUUUGCUCAUUGACGUUACCCGCAGGAGAAGCACCGGCUAACUCCGUG
rnacentral:rRNA from 1 species